CCUACGGGAGGCAGCAGUGGGGAAUAUUGGACAAUGGGGGCAACCCUGAUCCAGCCAUGCCGCGUGUGUGAAGAAGGCCCUCGGGUUGUAAAGCACUUUCAGUGAGGAAGAACGCCUGGUGGUUAAUACCCAUCAGGAAAGACAUCACUCACAGAAGAAGCACCGGCUAACUCCGUGCCAGCAGCCGCGGUAAUACGGAGGGUGCGAGCGUUAAUCGGAAUUACUGGGCGUAAAGCGCGCGUAGGUGGCUUGAUAAGCCGGUUGUGAAAGCCCCGGGCUCAACCUGGGAACGGCAUCCGGAACUGUCAAGCUAGAGUGCAGGAGAGGAAGGUAGAAUUCCCGGUGUAGCGGUGAAAUGCGUAGAGAUCGGGAGGAAUACCAGUGGCGAAGGCGGCCUUCUGGACUGACACUGACACUGAGGUGCGAAAGCGUGGGUAGCAAACAGGAUUAGAUACCCCGGUGGUC
rnacentral:rRNA from 1 species